UAUGCACACCAUUAAUGGCUGUACUUUGAGUUAUUUUGAGGGGAAAAUAAAUUAACCCUAUUAUAUAAACUGCACACAGACUACUUUUCAUUGUGUCAGUGUCAUUUUGUCAUUGUUGUCCCAUGAAAAGAUUUACUUAAAUAUUUGCAGAAAUGCGAGGGGUGUACUCACUUUUGUGAUACACUGUAUAAUUAAUACAUAAUAAUAUAAUACCGAUGGCAAAGGCUCCCAGGAAAGAUGAACUACAAUUAAUCCCUACAUGUUUGAACCUGAGGCGUCAGAUGACGGCGAUUUACUUGACACAGCAGAUGGCGUCAUGAUGCCAAUUGACAGCUCGACACUUCACGAACGGGAGAGUGAGUGGUGUUGCUGUAAACCAUCAAGUAAUUACCCUUCCAAGAGUAUGCCUGUGUCAUCAGGAGAUCCCAGACGUGAGAGCCAAACUUGCAGAGGCUGAAGCACUGACAGGGGCAUGAAUUUCAUUAAAAAAAAUAAAACCAUAAAUUGUUAACAACAUUGACACAUUUUGUUGACUGUUUAAUGUAUUCUAUUGUUAUAUAAAAUAUUGUAAUUAUAUUACAUUCUGAAAAAAUAUUCAAUAGGCCGCAAUAAUGAUACCAGGUUUAUGUUGAAUCAGCAUUAGCUUUCGUUGUCAGAUUGUGACACAACAUGUUAUACCAAGCACACAACGGCACACAUCAAAGAGCAUAAUUUCAGUAAGCAACACAAAGUUAGGAUAGCAACGGACUAGCGGAACAUUGAAAAAUGAUAACGGCAGUGGGAAAUAUGUAUUUACUCUUUUCUGUAGCAUGAAGUGUUCUCUAUACAAAGAUAAUGCAUUAUCAUUAAAAUAUGAAGGUAACUUGAUUUUUCUUUUAAAAAAUGUGUACUGUAUAUAUGACUAGUUUAUGAUUUCAUGUCAUCAAAAUUUGCUACAUUUAUUUCUCCUAAAUCAUCGUCAUCUGAUGUCGCAGACGGAAGAAAUUCAGCAUCUGGCAGGCCUCAUAGGAUCUCUUCAGUCGUCAUCGCUGGACACCGCAUCACUUCGGUCAUCAUAUGACUCGACCCACUCUCUCUUGAUUUUGGGAAACUGGGUGGCAACUGACUUGCAACGCUUUUUUCUUCGUGUUGAGGGUUUCCGCCACUUAAUUUUUUAUGUUUGGCUUCCUGGAGGGAAAAAAAAAUCACAGCAGCAUGAAAAUAUUGGAUGAAUCCUAAUUUUAAUUUAAUAAUAAUUUCUUGGUGAUCAAAUAAUAAUGCCCCAGUCAUACCAGCAACUAUUUGAUGCUAUUGUUCCCUCUUCAAAUAGGCAGACCUUGAUGUUGAAAUAUAAAAAAACGAGCCAAGGACCUAUUUGGUGCUGGGGACAUUUGAAUUUACAUAACACCUAUUGAUAUAGUAAUAAAAUCACAUGAGUAGACGACAUGUCAGCCAACCUAUCUACUUACGACAGGCCAACAGCAAAAAAAUAAAUAAAAAAUGUCGCACUUCAACAAACUGGCAGUAGGAGUCUCCCUCGUUUAUAAAAAAAAAAAAAAAAAAGCCAUUAAUGUUCUACUUACGUCUUUGGAAAACCAAGGUUGCAUUGUUGUAGGUUUUCAAAGCUGUCGUGGCUGAAAUGAUGAAAACAAUGAGCCGAUUGGGGACCUGUAUGCAUGCUAACAAAAACGGUCCAAACCUUUGCAGGAGAAGUUUUUUUUUUGGACCACUCCUAGAGUCUCGAGUCUUCCUGUGAGUAAUUCAUAUCGCUACACAUCGAGAUGGCAUGACGAAUCCCGCGAGUAAAACCCAGAAAAUGUUUGCAAUAUAUGGCGAGGAUAGCGUGGUGCUAUAUUUCCGUGUUCAGAGUGGUGGCGAGGCUUCCUGGAAGUUACGUCACGAGGUAGGGGUCGGCAGGACGGCGCGUCCCUCGUUGCUAUGGUGUUGCUAUGGCCAUAACUCAAAAACUACGCGGUCAAUUAUUAUUAUUUUUUUUUUAAGUGACUUUUUCAGAGAGCGAAUGACGCAUUUAAUACAAUUCAACUGAGUAAAACACUUAAGAGCGAAAUCUGAAAACCUCUUCAGUUCCCCUUUAAUGCGUAUUGGUUCAGGUGAUACAACGUUUGAUUCAAACGUUUGUUUUCAAAAAUACUAAAGAAACAUUUUGAAGUGCAACUGCGUUAAUAAUAAAAAAAAAAAAACAAACAAAGAAAAAACGGGCAGCUAUCCAAGAAUGAGUCCAAAUCUGGGGAACACUGGAGCACCCCUUGACUCAAAAUAAAGUACUGUAAUAUAAAAGUUAUUUACGUAGGUAGUAAUAAUAAAAAAAAAAAUCUCAGAUAUUCAAGGACCGAUCUACAUCUGAGGCAUACUAAACUACCCCAAGACUAGAACCGAAGUACCCUCAUGAAAUUCUAAUGUGUGAAUUCAUGUCAGAUUUUUGUUUUCAUGUCAGUUCAUGUUAGUGUCCCCCUGAAGUGUACGUAUUCUUGGAUAGCUCCCGUUUUUUUUAAAAAAAAUUAUUUAUUUUAAAAAAAAAAUUUUAAAUAAAGGGACUUGCACUCUGAAGCCACCACAUUGCAUUACCACAAUGCACAUAAUGCCAAAAAUGAUCAAAAAUGAAGGAUAGCUUGCUUGACUUCGUUGUUCCUUGUGGAAGCUGACCUGACCGCAGUAGUUUUGCAGGUUAGCAAGUUCACACAGGUUAAUGUUAUGCUAACUCAGAUACAGGUCUGACUGUCAGUAUCAAAAUUAGUGCUGUUUCCCCCACUUCCACAGCAUUGACGUCUUUUUACAUUAUUUACAGUGGCAGGUGCUGGCCGAAAAAACUUCUAAUAUCCCAGCUCUUCGAAGAGGGCAGAGCAGGCGGCAUGUUGUCGACAUGAAUCUGUUGGGGCUGUAUCAGUGUGUGUGUGUGUUUGUGUCUCUGUGUAUGGGGUCAAGUCAUCAACCAAUCAAACGUGUGUUUGAGGGGAAAAAGUUGACCGGCACAUUCAGCAAGUGAAAAGGGAUAAAUGUAAGUCUGAACAUAAUGAAAAUAAUUCACUUUAUAAUGGUAGGGUCGAGUCUAUCCUUACAACAUAUGGGAAGACAAUCUAAUGUGGCAGUUGUGUUUUGGAUGCUGUUCCUGAACACACAAUGUAACUGACGACAGAGGAGUGUUUGAGCUUUUACUUUCACCUUUCAUGUCGUGUUGUGGUUGGCGUCGGCGGACAGUUGCACAAGUUCUGAUAUAAAUGAUUAAAAAUAUUACGAGGCUAGCGACUUCUUUGCCGAUGUUACCACAAUAAUAAUUGUUACCUUAACUUAUAAAGACUGGCAAACGGAGGUCGGAGUAGGGCUGUCGAGAUUGAAACAUAUUCCGGCCGUAUAGCCUAGCCAGUCCACUGAUACUCACACCACACUUAUAUUUUUCGGUCAUUUCCAUCUUAAUUUAGAUGCUAAGCAUCACCUUUUUUCUUUUUUCACCACCAGCACUAACCUUCAUAGGACCCAUGUUUAUUUCUCUCACAAGAAAAUCCGCCGUGCGUCCAUUUUGCGGGAAAACAAUGAGAUUGCGACGUAGUCAUAAAUCAUCAAAUUUCAAGCAUGUCUUCAAAUGUUGAGACAAAUGAGGAGUCGAACUUUACGUUGAAUGUCGAAAGCACCGUAUGUUGAUGCGAUUGUAUGUUGUAUGUACUACUGUAGUUAUGACGGACAAGAAGAAAUUACCAAUUUACCUUAUUUAAGUAGUUUAGGAGUUGCCAUCUGCAACCACAGAUGUCUACCGGUAUUUACAUUUCUAUUUUAUUUGAAACGAUUGUUUUUUAUUUUUUUAUUUUAUACAGCUCGCGUGUGCACUGUGCAGAAGCUGAAAUUGCAAGUAAACAUGUAUACAUGUCAAAAACUGGUAGUAAGUUUGCAUUAAGACAAUUGACGCUCACUUGACUCAAAUGACUAAAUUCAUUUAUUUAUCCCCCAGCCUAAGAAAACAUUGAAAAGCAGAGGAAGUGUAAAUAAAAGCUUUUCCACGAGUUAGUUCCCUCCACAACAAUGAAAAAAACAUUUUCAAAAAAUAAAAAUAAGAAAAAAAAAUCUGAAUAGAGCAAUGCAUUUACGGUAUUCCCCUACUAUGGCCCUUUAAAACACAACAUCUUUUCAAACAUAAAUAGUAAAUAAAUAAAUAAUGCAUGCCUGGCAAGUUGUACGGUUUCGGCGUAAUUUGUACAAGUGAGCACUGAUUUUUAAAUGUGUACCCCGUAUGUUCAAAAUCUGUACGAUUUUCGUGCAUUACGUUUUUUUUCUCCAUUUGCAUUUUAACACCGUUUCGGCAACGAGACAAUGUGCGUUACUACGUUGGUUGAAUGACGCGAGAAAAGCAGGAGUGGGAAGGAGGGAAGAGUGUUGUGACGCUGUUGCAAACGCGAUGCUAGGCUAGGUGGCUCCAAUAUUUCCUGACUGUAGCCGAAAGCCUAUAAUCUACGCCCACUUGAAGCUACACUAGAUAUCAUAAGCAUGUAGAACUAGAUGCGAAAUGACAUCGUAAAUACUCCUAAAUCGUCAAAAUCUUGACUUGAAUCUAUCUUUAAAUGAUGAAACAUUUUUAAAACUUUCACAUGUCGAAAGUAGACAGAAGGGAAGUAAUGCAAAAACGGGAGCAAUUUUAACAACUUUAACGGUUGAGUCACAACAUUAAAUGACUUCCAAACAUAGCAAAGGUUACUAUGUUAAUAUGUUAAUAUAUGAAAGGUAACACCAGUUACUUUGCCAAGUAACUAAUUACUCUUACAUUCAGGUAACUGAGUUACUAACUCAAUUACGUUUUGGGAGAAGUAGUUUGUAACUGUAAUUACUUUUUUAAAGUAAGAUUAACAACAUUGGUCAUACAGAUGCAGUCUGCAGAAUGAAAAGUGACGAAAGCUAAUUUGUUGCCGAACACAAUUUGUCCGCAACUAUUGCUGAUCACUUCUCAGAAUUAGCAAAAGAAAUGUUCCCUGACUCAAAGAUUGCAUCGGUAAGUUCAUUUAUCAAUUGACCUUUUUUAAUUUAUAAAUGGACACACUAACAAGCUACCUCCAAGUCGAAGUGAAGUGCCAUGAAGCGUAGCCAUCAAAAGACAUGAUAGAAAUUGCCAAAAGUGCUACAUACAAUUAUAACAAAAGUCACUGUUAAAUUUUAGUAAUCAUGAUGUAGCUGAAGAUAAUGAUUGUUCUUUGUUUGCACCAGGUUAUAUGUGACAAUAUUACCAAUAAAUUCAUAUUAUCUUAAAAAUUGAGUUUUAUUUUUGUUUCAUAUUGCACGCUAUACAAAAUGUUGUAAGAUUAGUCUUCAAUUUGUCAGGGCAUACGCCACUAUUUGUAAGAUUGCCAACGGUCACGGGUUGACAGGUAUGGUAAUGUGCAUUUCAAAGCACAUUAAAAAAAAAAAAAAAAAAAAAAUCAUACUUCACUCAAGCAUCCCCAAAUCAUGUCAUAUUAGGUCAAUCAGUGGAAUGGAAUGAUGGGCUCUCUGCUUUACAGCAGUUUGUUUGCAUGUCACUACAUAUGUUAAACAGAAAUUAAGAACGGAAAAGAUUUCUGCUGAUUUGACCUCCUUUAGAAGGCAUCUUAGGUCAGAUGUAUUUAGUUCCUCAUUGGAUAGCGUACAACUCUUUAUCUAAAAUCGAUAGUUAGAACUCUAUGUAUCAAAGUAUAUGACAUUAUAGUGCUCUUAAUUCCCUUGUUAAAAUUACUGACAAAAGACAAAUAAAAAAUUGUCAUAAAAAUUUUGUUCUCUGUAUAUUCUUUGGAAAUAUUUAGUUUCUCAUUUCAAUAUUGUACAAAUAUUCAAUUUUUAAUCAGUAUAAACUGAAUCUAUCACAAGUUACACAAUUAUCAUAUAAUGAGCAAAUGUGAUUAAAAAAAAAAAUUAAAAUAAUAAAAUUUAAGAAAAAAAAUUAAUGGUAAAACUGGAUCAAGCCAUUUCAAUAUUCACAAAGGGAAAAAUAUAGUAAGAAUGUGAUUGUGAUAAUGCUGCACUGAAGCGUAUCAAAAAGAGAUGAUUGCAUUAUUCCAAUCAAAGAAAGUCACAAAGUGCUGACUUCCCCCAUGAAAAACAGCACUUGAAGCAACAAACAAGACAUCUCACUCUUGACCCACUCCCACUCUAUUUAGUAGGGGUGUAUGCAAUUGGACAGACAGAAGAGGAGAAAGAACCGUUUUGGAUGAAGGAAAUGGCUGAAACAAUGCUGGCGCUAGUGGUAGGAAGUGCUGAUGAGCGAAGAUUAAAAGCAGCAAGACUAAAAAUAAAAAGCAACGACACACCAAAAACAGAGUUCAGAAAACACCACUAUAUUAGGACCAGGACAGCGAUACUGAUACAUUUAUGUAAAUUAAUAUUACUGUCACGUUGAGGCGAUACACUAUUCUGAUUGUUCCUAUAUCUGUUGCAAGGGCGUAGGUUUCCAUAGGGACGGUAGGGACAUACCCCUACCAACUUUACAGGAUGCUCAAAUUAUCCCCACCAACUUUUAAACAACCUUAUUUGCAUUAUAAAAUUAUUUCAGUUAUAUAGGUCAUUUAGAUUGUCUUCCUAUAUGUUGUCAGGAUAGAAUUGAUCCUACCAUUAUUAAGUGAAUUACAGUACUUUCUUUGUGUUCAGACUUACACUGACCCUUUUUCACUCGCUGAAUGUGCCAGUCCAUUUUUUCCCCUCAAACGCGCGUUUGAUUGGCUGAUGACUUGAACCCCCCCCCCCCCCCCCACACACACACACCCAUUCACAGCCCGACA